rnacentral:misc_RNA from 1 species
UUUAGGUGGACAUGGAGUUAGUAGUCUUUAUUGCAGUGGAAGGAGAGGAGGCACUCCCAAGGAUUGCAAGAGCCGGCUGAGUGAGAGCUACCACCCUAAAGCUAUAAGAGAUUUAGAGGCUGGUUAGGCUCUGCCUCCUCCCUGUCUCUUGCUCUCCCACUGUCUCCCCUUCAAGUGUAGAUGGUUUUCUUGUUCCCAUGGCUGCUGUUCACUAAGCUAAUGGUUUCCUAACUAUUUUGGCGGUGGAUAAUCCUAUUCUUGGCCCUGGAUACGGUGGAAUGAACACCAUUUAGAAGAAUCGCCAGCUAUGCAUAUGUGGGUGUUGCGCCG